UCACUUGAUGACUUUCACGGUUUUAUCCUUGGUAAAAAUAAUCAAACUUAAACUUUACAUGAUUUCCAUGCUAUUGAUAUUAGACUGUGGGCUUCCAACUUAAAACCAAUUGGCAAUAGGUGGAGAGACCCAUAUCUUAUAUAUACCACUUAAGAUCCUACUCAACUUCCGAUGUGGGACAUUGUCCCUAAUAAUUGAUUCUUUGACUUUCAAUGGCCAACAAAACCAAAUCUUAUGAGAU
rnacentral:sRNA from 1 species